UACGUAGGGUCCGAGCGUUGUCCGGAAUUAUUGGGCGUAAAGGGCUCGUAGGCGGUCCGUCACGUCGGGAGUGAAAACUCAGGGCUCAACCCUGAGCGUGCUUCCGAUACGGGCGGACUAGAGGUAUGCAGGGGAGAACGGAAUUCCUGGUGUAGCGGUGAAAUUGUGUAGUAUAGUCGAAGAACACCGGUGGCGAAGGCGGCCUACCUGGGACGGACUGACGCUGAGGCGCGAAAGCGUAGGGGAGCAAACGGGAUUGAGAACCUCCGAGUCAAGUCCGAA
rnacentral:rRNA from 1 species